rnacentral:hammerhead_ribozyme from 1 species
CUCUAGCGGACGAGUCUCAAAUAGGACGAAACGUACGUCCUGGAU